AUAAUGUAGUAGUUUUCACUUUUCUGUUCGUAGUUUCAUUCAACUUUGCUUUUCACUUUUCGUUUUGUUUGUAAAUACAUUAAGCCCAACAAGUGUUAAGUAUUACUUUAUAAAAAUAAAAAAAACAUCUCAUUUUAUAACGGUAAAGUUUUAAAGAAGGUGCCUAUGUUUUCUGAUACAGAGUAUAACUUAGAAAAAUAAACCAUCUGCAGUAACUCAAUUGCCAAAAAAUCGUCAAAAAUAUUUUCGUGGAUCCUAAAUAUCAAAACAUUUUCGAAUCUCCCUUUGAUGCUGGUUAAAGACAGCUAAUGGAGCUGUUACGGAUAACUGUCUAUAGUAGCCGCACAUUCAGAGUUUUCAUACUUUGGAUACAGAAAAUUGAAUAGAAAAAUUGUAUUGAAGGUUGUACGUUGAACUGAGUUCAAGCCAUACAUAACCCCUGAAAAAUGUGUUGCAUCCCUGGAUUUGAUGCUUUACAAUACAAAAGAAAUUAUCAUGAAAAAAUAAUUUGAAAAAAAAAAUUAUUUAUAAAGUUAUUGUCAAAAUCAGAAUGUACCGGUAGGUGACGUCAUUGCGUCUGUCGUUUCCGCGCGGCCGAGCGGUACUGGCAGGCGGCCGCAGCAAAUCCUAUGAUAAUACCAUUGAGUAUAUAUUAUAUCGUACAAUACGUAUGAAAAUAUUCUACCGAUUGUUAAAUAUAUAAAUCAUUAUAUACGAAAAACGAUUCUGAGCGG